rnacentral:rRNA from 1 species
GCAUAUCAAUAAGCGGAGGAAAAGAAACCAACUGGGAUUGCCUUAGUAACGGCGAGUGAAGCGGCAAUAGCUCAAAUUUGAAAGCUGGCCCCUUUGGGGUCCGCGUUGUAAUUUGUAGAGGAUGAUUCGGCGAGGGCUCCCGUCUAAGUCCCCUGGAACGGGGCGUCACAGAGGGUGAGAAUCCCGUAUGUGAUGGGUUGCCUUAGCCAUGUGAAUCUCCUUCGACGAGUCGAGUUGUUUGGGAAUGCAGCUCUAAAUGGGAGGUAAAUUUCUUCUAAAGCUAAAUACCGGCCAGAGACCGAUAGCGCACAAGUAGAGUGAUCGAAAGAUGAAAAGCACUUUGGAAAGAGAGUUAAAAAGUACGUGAAAUUGUUGAAAGGGAAGCGCUUGCAGCCAGACUUGUCCGCAGUUGCUCAGCCGGUCUCCUGACCGGCGUACUCUUCUGCGGCCAGGCCAGCAUCAGUUCGGGCGGUCGGAUAAAGACCUCGGGAAUGUAGCUCCUCUCGGGGAGUGUUAUAGCCCGGGGUGGAAUGCGGCCAGCCUGGACUGAGGAUCUCGCUUCGGCUAGGAUGCUGGCGUAAUGGCUGUAAGCGGCCCGUCUUGAAACACGGACCAAGGAGUCUAACAUCUAUGCGAGUGUUUGGGUGUCAAACCCAUACGCGUAAUGAAAGUGAACGGAGGUGGGAACCGCAAGGUGCACCAUCGACCGAUCCUGAUGUCUUCGGAUGGAUUUGAGUAAGAGCAUAGCUGUUGGGACCCGAAAGAUGGUGAACUAUGCCUGAAUAGGGUGAAGCCAGAGGAAACUCUGGUGGAGGCUCGCAGCGGUUCUGACGUGCAAAUCGAUCGUCAAAUUUGGGUAUAGGGGCAAAAGACUAUUCGAACCAUCUAGUAGCUGGGUCCUGCCGAAGU